rnacentral:tRNA from 1 species
GCCCAGAUGGCGGAAUCGGUAGACGCAGUGGAUUCAAAAUCCACCGAUCGCAAGGUCGUGAGAGUUCGAGUCUCUCUCUGGGCACCA